GAGUGUGUAGCUCAGUGGUAGAGCACUUGCCUAACAUGCAGGAGGUCCCAGAUUUAAAUACUAGCAUGUCA
rnacentral:tRNA from 1 species